CAAAAUAUUAUUAGAGAUAUGGAGAUCCAGUGGGGACGGUUAGAUGCCGGAAUUGAUAUCAAUCGUCAACGUCGAUCAGUUCAGCGUCAUCAUGACAUCCGCAUUCAGCAUCUUCAAGCAUCUUUAAGAUCUGGAAGAAUUCCUACACGCUGCAGUGAAUCGGGAUCUUCAUGAUUCAAUAUUUUUAAUUUUAAAUGAUAAUCAACGUGAACAGCUACCAAAUAUUGGCAAUAUUGAAC